rnacentral:rRNA from 1 species
AACGAACGCUGGCGGCGCGCUUAACACAUGCAAGUCGAACGAGAAGGCGUAGCAAUACGCUUGUACAGUGGCGAACGGGUGAGGAAUACAUGGGUAACCUACCCUCGAGUGGGGGAUAACCCGCCGAAAGGACGGGCGUAAUACCGCGUACGCUUCCGAUCUUGCGGGAUUGGAAGGAAAGCUGUCCCUUGGGGAUGGCGCUCAAGGAUGGGCUCAUGUCCUAUCAGCUUGUUGGUAGGGUAACGGCCUACCAAGGCAUCGACGGGUAGCUGGUCUGAGAGGACGAUCAGCCACACUGGCACUGCGACACGGGCCAGACUCCUACGGGAGGCAGCAGUGAGGAAUAUUGCGCAAUGGGCGAAAGCCUGACGCAGCGACGCGCGUGGGGGAUGAAGGUCUUCGGAUUGUAAACCCC